GAAAGAGGACGGCCUCUUUUCCGAAAUCCCUGAUGACCAGGACGGCCUGG
rnacentral:ncRNA from 1 species